rnacentral:rRNA from 1 species
GAUGAACGCUGGCGGCGUGCUUAACACAUGCAAGUCGAACGAAGCAUUUAAGACAGAUUACUUCGGUUUGAAGUCUUUUAUGACUGAGUGGCGGACGGGUGAGUAACGCGUGGGUAACCUGCCUCAUACAGGGGGAUAGCAGCUGGAAACGGCUGGUAAUACCGCAUGAUGUGUUCGGAUGGCAUCAUCUGAACAUCAAAGAUUUAUCGCUGAAAGAUGGGCUCGCGUCUGAUUAGAUAGUUGGUGGGGUAACGGCCUACCAAGUCGACGAUCAGUAGCCGGACUGAGAGGUUGAACGGCCACAUUGGGACUGAGACACGGCCCAAACUCCUACGGGAGGCAGCAGUGGGGAAUAUUGCACAAUGGGGGAAACCCUGAUGCAGCGACGCCGCGUGAGUGAUGAAGUAUUUCGGUAUGUAAAACUCUAUCAGCAGGGAAGAUAAUGACGGUACCUGACU